AUUGAACGCUGGCGGCAGGCCUAACACAUGCAAGUCGAACGAGUGGCGGACGGGUGAGUAAUGUCUUGGAAACUGCCUGAUGGAGGGGGAUAACUACUGGAAACGGUAGCUAAUACCGCAUACCAUCGGAUGUGCCCCGAUGGGAUUAGCUAGUAGGUGGGGUAACGCCUCACCUAGGCGACGAUCCCUAGCUGGUCUGCGAGGAUGACCAGCCACACUGGAACUGAGCCACGGUCCAGACUCCUACGGGAGGCAGCAGUGGGGAAUAUUGCACAAUGGGCGCAAGCCUGAUGCAGCAAUGCCGCGUGUAUGAAGAAGGCCUUCGGGUUGUAAAGGACUUUCAGCGAGGAGGCGUUACUCGCAGAAGAAGCACCGGCUAACUCCGUGCCAGCAGCCGCGGUAAUUC
rnacentral:rRNA from 1 species